rnacentral:rRNA from 1 species
GUGCAGCAGGCGAGAAUCCUCCGCAAUGCGCGAAAGCGCGACGGGGUUACCCCGAGUGCCGUCCGCUGAGGACGGCUUUUGCCCAGUGUAGCCAGCUGGGCGAAUAAGGAGAGGGCAAGUCUGGUGUCAGCCGCCGCGGUAAUACCAGCUCUCCGAGUGGUGGGGACGCUUAUUGGGCCUAAAGCAUCCGUAGCCGGUCUGGCAAGUCCCUUGUUAAAUCCAACGAUUCAAUCGUUGGACUGCAAGGGGAUACUGCCAGACUAGGGGCGGGAGAGGCGACGGUAGUUCCGGGUACGGGUGGAAAGUCCU